rnacentral:lncRNA from 1 species
UGUUUUAGAGCUUGCUUCAGCCAGACUCACGAUUCUGUCCAGUGCAAUUAACAAGCCUAAGAACAAGUUCAUUUUGAACCUUUCAGCAAUCAAACAAUUGGUACAUCAUGCCUUUCCUAGGUACGCUAUAGGUUCAAAGGCCCAAGAAGAUUGACAGCACUAUCCUCACUUAUCGCUGAUGUUUGUUUAGGUACUAAGUCCUACUGAUGUUACUCCCACU